GUCCUUUCGGUCGGUGUUUGUUGAGCAACGAGCAUGUUUGGUCAGGACGGCUGACACUGGGCUUUCCCUGGACUCGCGGGGCUGAGAUGAAUGAACCCAGGCAUCACCGAUGCUUCCGUGGCCACAAUUGGGUGUAGUCUUAGGAGACUGUUCCAAGGUGGGAAAAAACAAGAAAGCAAGACCCUGCGUGUCAUGAGUGGGAACCUGUGGCACAGAACAUGUUCUCGGUGGAGUGGAAAGCAAAAGGCAGGCUUCCUGGUCCGGCAGCCAGGCAAGGCUGUGGCCCGUUCAGACUGGCUGAAGCAUAUGGAGGUUCCAUGGUAGGGGUCGAACUGGAACUGAAGCUGCCAGCCUAUACCACAGCCCCAGCAACACAGGAUCCGAGCUGCAUCUUCAACCUUCACCACAACUCAGGGCAACACCAGCUCCUUAACCAACUGAGGGAGGCCGGGGAUGGAAGCUGCGUCCUCCUGGAUGCUGGUUAGAUUCGUCAUCCGCUAAGCCCCAGUGGGCACUCCUUCCCUGAUGUCCUUGUUUCUGCAGUUCAGCACCCGCUGUUCUCAUCGCCCUUCUUCACAACCUCUGAGUCCUUUCUGCUCCCUCACUGCUCCUUCCUCCCCGGGCACAACUCCUGCCUCAUCGCAGACCCAAAAGCUGUCUCCAGGCACUGGGUAAAAUCGCAGGCUGUAGGAAAAGCCGGUUUUAAAAAAGGAACCCAGAUCAGGCAUCUGUGAGAGCCUGGACCGUCCAUCUCCCCGCAAAAAGAGAGUGACGUCAAUGAAGACAAAAUAGCAUCUGAGGAAAGAAAGAGCCGGUCAUCUUACAGGUUUGUUUAAAGCCACGAAUUUACGUGUCCAAGAAGCUUCGCAAAUGAAAACCAGCACAGGCUUUAUGAAGUCCGCUCACCCAUCACAGUCAUAAUGAAACCAGUGGAAACGAUGAGAAGCAUCCAGAGACAAUGACAUGUUCCGUCCAGAAGAGAAGCGGUUCGGACGAUUCGAGCUUCCACCUCCGAAACCAGUGCUGUCAGCAGAGGGGGCAUUCUGGAGAGACGGAACGGGCCGGCCUGGGAGUCUCCUGGCGACAUUCUUGGGGCGUGAAGGUGAAACGGGCAUCGUCAGAGGGAGGAAUGUGGAGAGACUUGGUGCCCAUGAACCUGCUCAAAGGGAAAUGGUGAGGGGGAGUCUUCGGGCGGAAAGGAGGCCAUUCUUGGGGGCACUUGCAGCGUCACCAGUGAAGGGAGACCCCCAGGUGGGCAGUAGAAGGUGCAGGUAAUUGCCUGUGGUCUCCCCUCAGGUCUUUGAAACGCAUGGGGCUGUUGAAAGCAAACAUCGCGUGUGGUGGGGAGUUUGGUGCAUGCAGACGAGGACAGAGCAGCUACAGCAAGAGGGCGGGGGGUGCAGGGGUCUUAGGAUGAUGUGUGUUCUGUGUUUCUCUGAGGCGCUGAGAACAUUCGGUCUGACAUUGGGCGUGCGUAUUAUACCUCCUGGUGCAGCCACUUGCACAGCACAGCAAGAGCUACAACUGGAACACCAGUGGAUACAGUGGAUACUAAGAAAUAUUCCCAAAGCCAGAAGGAGGCAGGAGAGGGACACUCGAAGAGCAAACAAGAGCAGGGACAAGGAGCAGAACGAAGGAUGAGUCUUGAUACAGCCUCGAUGGUCAUUCCAUGACCUGUGAGCGGUGACAGCACCACUAACUGGUGAACAUUGUCAGACUGGACCAAGAAUUAAAGGGCCCCAUUUGGGAAUUUGGAAAUUAAAGGGCACCCUUCUGCCUAAUGCACGAGGCAAAGAAGACCUCAGGGAAAACUGGAAACUAUUUUGAACUGGAUGGAAAUGAAAGUACAGCCCCCUCGUCUUUGGGGGAUGCAGCCAAAGCCGUGUUUAGGGGGAACGGAGACCAGCACGUGUUGGUGGAAGGUCCAGUGUCCACACUGGGGCAGAGGCUGGAGAGCAGCCCCUGAACCAGCGGCCCCAUCCCUGGUUACCAAGGGCCCUGUAUGUGGUGGGGCUCUGGGGGAUGGUGACACCACAGUCAAAGCCCCAAGGGCUGAAGUUCCCACUGUGGCUCAGUGGUUAACGAAUCAACGAGGAACCAUGAGGUUGCGGGUUCCAUCCCUGGCCCAGCUCAGUGGGUUAAGGAUCCAGCGUUGCCGUGAACUGUGGUGUAGGUUGCAGUCGCAGCUCGGAUCCCGCAUUGCUGUGGCUCUGGUGUAGGCUGGCGGCUACAGCUCUGAUUAGACCCCUAGCCUGGGAACCUCCAUAUGCCGUGGGAGUGGCCCUAGAAAAGGCAAAAAAAAGACAGGAAAAAAAAAAAGUCCCAAGGGCUUUGUGCCCACCCCUGUGGACACGUCUCCUUCCUUGAGAGCCUCUUCUCCUCCCUGAGUCCAGGGACGUCUCUCUGUCUAGCCUGUUCUCCUGCCCACGAGUGUAGUAUCCUGUUCAGCCCCCAGAUGUCUGCGCAUUGGAAGCAUUUUCUAAAUUUAUUCAUUAAAAUUUCUUUUUGGUCUUUUUGCCAUUUCUUGCGCCGCUCCGAUGGCAUAUGGAGGUUCCCAGGCUAGGGGUCUAAUCGGAGCUGUAGCUGCGGGACUACGCCAGAGCCACAGCAACGCAGGAUCCGAGCCGCGUCUGCAACCUACACCACAGCUCACGGCAACGCCGGAUCCUUAACCCACUGAGCCAGGCCAGGGAUGGAACCGCAACCUCAUGGUUCCUCGUCGGAUUCAUUAACUACUGCGCCACGACGGGAACUCUUUUUAAAAUGUUUUACUAUAGGCGACUUAACCGUGUUCUGUGGCACAGCAAAGUGACCCGUUCAUAUGCAUUGGUUCUUUCCUUCACAUCCUCCUCCAGCAUGUUCCGUCACACGUGCUCAGAGUCCCAUCCCCGGGCGAUCCAGCCGGAUCCCACUGCUUACCCACCCGCAUGCAGCAGCUGGCAUCCAGCAAGGGUUGAAUGCCUUUGCUCUCCUUAGCAUUUGCAGAGCCCCGAGCAUCACUGCUCCCCCCAAACCUGACACUGCCCAGUGGUGACCCAGGCCCUGACACUGUAGACGACAGCUGAGGGUGUCACUUUGUUGGGAGGGCAAUAUCGUGGGCCACCUACGCCGUCUUUGGGGGCUCACCUUGACCUCUGGACCUGUUCGUGGCUCAGGUUUACCUGUCUCCCAACAGUGGGUUGCAGCCUUGUGACUUGGUGGGGAUGGCAGUGCCCAGGUCGUCACGGGAAGCUCCAUUCGCACAGACGCCCGAUAUCUCUUUCCGUCAGUGUCUGUCGGGCACUGGGGGCACAUCAGGAGCCGUGUUGCGAUGGCACCUGGCUUUCCGCUGCAGGUGAUGGAUGAGAUGACCUGAACCUGCAGGGACCGAACCUCCCCUCAGCCCCUGGGCUCCGCGAGAAUCGCCAGGCCUCCCAGUGCCCACGGGUUCGUCGGGUCCUGGACGGUAGCCCGAGGCUCUGGCAGAGCCCCGUUUCUAAAACCGUGGGCUCCCCUCAGACCCGCACCGGUCUCAGUUCCUUGAGAAGUCCCUUCUCCUCUCAGGUAUGACACCUGCUGCUUCCACAGUCCAAGGAUGCGGACCCAGAGCUGUGCCGCUCUCUGUGCUGGGUGUUGCCAGGUGCAGUGGCGUGUGCCUUGCUGGAGGGGCUGUGUCUUGGCGGGUCUCAGAGAACAGGUCCUCUGCCAGGAUCUCUGCUUUGGCAGGCUCUGAAUCCUUGAAUUGCUUUUUUUCUUAAAAAAAGAGUUGGGGCUCAUUGGGUUAAGACCCUGACUAGUAUCCAUGAGGACGUGGAUUCGAUCCCUGGUCUCACUCAGCGAGCUAAGGAUGUGGUGUGGCUGUGGCUGUGGUGUAGGCUGGCAGCUGCAGCUCUGAUUGGACCCCUGGCCUGGGAACCUCCAUAUGCUGCAUGUGUGGUCCUCGAAAAAAAGGAAAAUUAAAAAAAAAAAAAAGACCUGCCAGCACUCCCAGCACAUGGAGUCUGUCUCAGAGCAACGCGAACACCCCACCCUCUCCUCCUCAGGCCCUGUUCACAAGACACCAUCAGCCUGGUGGACCAGUGCCAAGGGUCCUUGGGCUAUGCUGUGACUGAGGGCAGGUGGAUUUGUCCCAAGGGUGAAUGUGUACUGUCCCCCCUUCCGGGUGAAGAGGAGGGGCUGCUUACUUCCUGGGGGUACAGCUGCAGUCAUGUGACCAAAGGCUGCCCAGUUCUCUCCUGGGGACGGUAUCCAUGCGGCACAGCAGCUGUGACAGGGGUGGGUGGGCGCUGGGUGAAGUCACGGCACUCCACCAUCCAACACCCCCCUUGCUUGGCCACGCCCAUGGCCUGCAGAAGUUCCGGGGCCACGGAUGGCAUCCAUGCCACAGCAGUGACCUGAGGCACAGCAGUGAUAAAGCCAGACCCUGACCUCCCUGGGCCCCUCGGGAACUCCCAUCCUCAGGUACCCUUGACCCGUUCUGUUUCUCAGGGGCCAGGCUGCUGUCGUAAGCAGGGCUCUGUGGGCCCCCACCACCACCUCUCUUGGGUGUGUGAGGGGGGGCCCUGGUCCCUGCUAGUCCACCUGAGUGAGGGCUGGUUUGGCUUCACCGUGCAGGGCCUGUCGGAGUUACCUUGUCAGGGAUGAGAUUCGCUUUCCUGUCUUUCGAGACUGACUCUGCUUUGGAUGCUGAUUCCGUGACUUUGUGGGUCAGUGUAUCCUUUGAAGGCUUAAAAAAAAGUCUGUGUUACAUCUGUGUGUGGGCACAUCCUAGGGUUUGUUUGGCCUCCCGAGGAGGGCACGGCUCUGGAUGCUUCUUGGUUGUCCCAAGGGCUCAGCCUGAACUUGAAACACCUGUCGUCACCGUGCUGGCUCUGGGAACUGAAGCCAAACUCUCAUUUACUCUGUUUCUUAAAAUGAUCGUAGAGAAACCAAAGACGCUGGAGUUCCCGUGGCGCAGUGGGUUACGAAUUCGACCGUAGGAGUUCCCGCUGGGGCUCAGGGCUUAAGGAACCGACUCGUCUCCAUGAGGACUCGAGUUUGAUCCCUGGCCUCGCUCAGUGGGUUAAGGAUCCAGCAUGGCCAUGGGCUGUGGUGUGGGUGGCAGACGUGGCUCGGAUCCUGUGUUACUGUGGUGUAGGUGGGUGGCUACAGCUCCGAUUUGACCCCUAGCCUGGGAACCUCGUGUGCUGCAGGUAUGGCCCUAAAACGA